rnacentral:rRNA from 1 species
UAUUGUUGCCGUAGCUCUCCACAUGCAAGUUGAGGGGGAUCCGGCGCCUUGCUCUUGGGUGGCGAUUGGCGGACGGGUGAGGAAUACAUCGGAAUCUACUCUGUCGGGGGGGAUAACGUCUGGAAACUUAGGCUAAUACCGCAUACGCCCUACGGGUGAAAGGGGGGGAUCUUCGGACCUUGCGCGAUUGAAUGAGCCGAUGUCCGAUUAGCUAGUUGGCGGGGUUAAGGCCCACCAAGGCGACGAUCCGUAGCUGGUCUGAAAGGAUGAUCAGCCACACUGGAACUGAGACACGGUCCAGACUCCUACGGGAGGCAGCAGUGGGGAAUAUUGGACAAUGGGCGCAAGCCUGAUCCAGCCAUACCGCGUGGGUGAAAAAGGCCUUCGGGUUGUAAAGCCCUUUUGUUGGGAAAGAAAUCCAUCCGGCUAAUACCUGGUUGGGAUGACGGUUCCCAAAGAAUAAGCACCGGCUAACUUCGUGCCAGCAGCCGCGGUAAUACGAAGGGUGCAAGCGUUACUCGGAAUUACUGGGCGUAAAGCGUGCGUAGGUGGUCGUCUAAGUCCGAUGUGAAAGCCCUGGGCUCAACCUGGGAACUGCAUUGUAUACUGCGCGACUAGAGUUGUGGCUAGAGGGGUAGCGGAAAUUCAUGUUGUACCAGUGAAAUGCGUAAAGAUUAGAGGAACAUCCAUCGGCGAAAGCAGCUGCCUGUAUCAAUCACUGACUACUCGAGCACGAAAGCUUGGGGAGGCAAACAGGAUUAGAUACUCUGGUAGUCCACGCCCCUAAAACAAUGUCAACUGAUGUUGGGUGCGGUGUGGUUCGCAGUUCCGAUACAAACCUCGUGAUGGUC